rnacentral:rRNA from 1 species
GACGAACGCUGGCGGCGUGCUUAACACAUGCAAGUCGAACGGAAAGGCCCUGCUUUUGUGGGGUGCUCGAGUGGCGAACGGGUGAGUAACACGUGAGUAACCUGCCCUUGACUUUGGGAUAACUUCAGGAAACUGGGGCUAAUACCGGAUAGGAGCUCCUGCUGCAUGGUGGGGUUUGGAAAGUUUCGGCGGUUGGGGAUGGACUCGCGGCUUAUCAGCUUGUUGGUGGGGUAGUGGCUUACCAAGGCAUUGACGGGUAGCCGGCCUGAGAGGGUGACCGGCCACAUUGGGACUGAGAUACGGCCCAGACUCCUACGGGAGGCAGCAGUGGGGAAUAUUGCACAAUGGGCGGAAGCCUGAUGCAGCAACGCCGCGUGCGGGAUGACGGCCUUCGGGUUGUAAACCGCUUUCGCCUGUGACGAAGCGUGAGUGACGGUAAUGGGUAAAGAAGCACCGGCUAACUACGUG